CGCCGCCGCUGCAGAAUCCUUCUCCGUCGCCUCCGCCGUCUUGCUCCUCCCGCCUCACCCCUCUCCUCUCCCUCCAAACCCUAACCGUGCCCACCUCCCUACCCCCCGCCGUAGUCUCCUUCGCCGUCGGGAGCUCAGCCCGGGAUGGCUGCCGCAGGGUUCCUGGCGGGCUUCCUCCUCGGCCUUCUCGCGCUCGCGGAGGCCGAGGCGACCGCGCUGCUCUGGGUCGCCCGCCGCCUCUACCGCCGGCUGCUUUGGAGAUGGUGAAUGCGACAGUCAGGCGUUGAGGAGGGCGUGUACUAGAGCCCGGUCGUCGGAGGCGCGUGCAGGUUUGUGAUUGAGGGUACCCGCGAGCCGGCGACUAAAGGCAGAGGGCGCGCCAUGUGCUGUGGCUGAUCUGUGUGUGUGUCGUGUUCUGCUUGUGCGUGUGUGGUGUGGACAGCGUGGUGCGUGCUAUGUUCUGCUCUCCUCCAGCAUGUGUGCAACGAUCUGUUCCGGCCAACCGUGGAUGGAGUGUUGUGAUUUCUAAAUAAUGCACUUUUGGGAGUUCCACAUCCUGAUACGUAUAUCAACUGUCGGUCAUGUGAGGCUGCCCAACGGAAAGAUCUGAUAAGAAAGAAGAUAGAGCUUCAGGUGAACCGUGUCGUCCCUAGGAAUUUGUUGGCCUCGAGGAUUGUUCCAGUAAGUACUUCUGAUGACAACAUGAUGUUGGGCCUCAGGGACAUGGUCUCAAACUUGUGUAGGUAAC